rnacentral:rRNA from 1 species
CCUACGGGUGGCAGCAGUGAGGAAUAUUGGUCAAUGGACGCAAGUCUGAACCAGCCAUGCCGCGUGCAGGAAGACGGCUCUAUGAGUUGAAAACUGCUUUUGGACGAGGGUAAACGCAGAUACCCGCAUCUGUCUGACAGUAUCGGACGAAUAAGGAUCGGCUAACUCCGUGACAGCAGCCGCGGGAAUACGGAGGGGUCAAGCGUUAUCCGGAUUUAUUGGGUUUAAAGGGUGCGUAGGCGGUCGGAUAAGUUAGAGGUGAAAUCCCGAGGCUCAACUUCGGAAUUGCCUCUGAUACUGUUCGGCUAGAGAGUAGUUGCGGUAGGCGGAAUGUAUGGUGUAGCGGUGAAAUGCUUAGAGAUCAUACAGAACACCGAUUGCGAAGGCAGCUUACCAGGCUACAUCUGACGUUGAGGCACGAAAGCGUGGGGAGCAAACAGGAUUAGAUACCCGGGUAGUC